UACGUAGGGUCCGAGCGUUGUCCGGAAUUACUGGGCGUAAAGAGCUCGUAGGUGGUUUGUCGCGUUGUUCGUGAAAAACUCACAGCUUAACUGUGGGCGUGCGGGCGAUACGGGCAGACUGGAGUACUGCAGGGGGAGACUGGAAUUCCUGGUGUAGCGGUGGAAUGCGCAGAUAUCAGGAGGAACACCGAUGGCGAAGGCAGGUCUCUGGGCCAUAACUGACGCUGAGAAGCGAAAAGCAUGGGGGAGCGAACAGG
rnacentral:rRNA from 1 species